rnacentral:tRNA from 1 species
GGUUGUAGCUCAGCGAUAGAGUGCUCGCCUAGCAUGGGCAAGGCCCUGGGUUCAAUCCUCAGCACCA